AGUAACACUCUGGGAGGGCUCAGGCCACAUCACGAAAUGUGACAGGAUAGCCUUGAACUCAUCAAUUGCUGGGGGCACCUCAAACUCAACUCCAAAAUUGAUCUAAUGAACUUUCCCAAACCACAUUCCCUUCUUGCAUUUCUGAGAGAAUGGAUUCCCAUUCAUCUGACUACAGUGCUACCCUGAAAGCAGAUCCAGAGACUAAGAUUCACCUGCAGGUGAUUCAUUUGCAAGGUAAGCUGUCAUCAGUUGGAGGUAAGCGGAAGACAGUAGAGAGUACAGAGCCCUGGACUGUGACUCAGAGGAUGAGCACCAGAUCCAGUUUGCUGUGCCACAGUGUCCUGAAGAUUUUCCUCAGAUAAUCUUUCAUCUCUUUGUUCCUGAGACUAUAUAUUAGAGGAUUACAGAGUGGUGUUAUCACAGAAAAGAACAAGUGGAUUUUUAUCUGAGAUCUACAACUUAUGAAGAAUACAAAUGAUGUAUAUUCUUUUCUACUCUUCAUGUAUGGACUAGAGGGGCUUGCACAGUAGUAAGAAAAAAAUGGCUGAGACCCACAGGAACAAAGAAACAGGACAGGAGUUAGAUGCAGAGAAGAGAUUUCAACAAAAGUUUGGAAAAGAUGCUAACGGUAGCAUAUGAGUCACAGACAGAACAUUGGCACCUUUGUUUAAGAAACUGAAUGUUAAUGUCACAUCUGCCUUUGGAGAUUACAAAUGAAAUGGCUACCUUUCUACUGGAACCCUGACCAGAAGUCUGCCAGUUAGUAAGCUGGCUUAAGAGAUCAAUCUAAAAUUUACAUAAGGCUUUUGAAAAAAAGAAAAAAGCAGAAGAAAUGAAGAUAGCAAACAACACAGUAGUGACAGAAUUUAUCCUCCUUGGUCUGACUCAGUCUCAAGAUAUUCAGCUCUUGGUCUUUGUGCUGAUCUUAAUUUUCUACCUUAUCAUCCUCCCUGGAAAUUUUCUCAUUAUUUUCACCAUAAGGUCAGACCCUGGGCUCACAGCCCCCCUCUAUUUAUUUCUGGGCAACUUGGCCUUCCUGGAUGCAUCCUACUCCUUCAUUGUGGCUCCCAGGAUGUUGGUGGACUUCCUCUCUGAGAAAAAGUGAUCUUUCCAUUGAUGAAUCCUAUGAUUUAUACCCUUCGCAACCAGGAAGUGAAAACUUCCAUGAAGAGGUUAUUGAGUCGACAUGUAGUCUGUCAAGUGGAUUUUAUAAUAAGAAACUGAGAAGGAGGAAUUCUGGCUGGAAUUCAUAUCAUUCAUUUAACAAGUCCUGUUUUUCACUGAGUACCUCCCAUUUGCCAGGUACCAUUGUAGGCAAUGGAGGAGAGUUAUGCAUAAUGAGAGAAUAAACUUAUUAUAUUUAAA